UUUAUUUCCUCUACAUUUGUGUCUUGGAACUAUUUCCAUUCUCCAUUAAUACAAAAUUUCUUCAUAUGGCCCCUAGCAGAAAUCAACUAGAUGACUUCCUGUCUUCAUAAGAUCAUUUUGCAGCUGAAGAUAUUAAAGACCAGAGAGGUCAAGGCUGAAGGCAGAAAUGUCAUCACGUUUUCAAGAACAUGACAAAGGAAAUUGAAACAACAAAACCUCCUGUCAGGGAGUUCCUUGAUCAACUUGAGGAGGUUACUAGGAGACCCUGGUCUUCCCGUGUUCCAAGCUGCAGUUUGUAAUCUCAGCUUUCUGAUUGGAAUGAUGCCACCUGCUGGAGACUUACUGUAGAAAAGCUCCGCCACGAAGUGAAGGUCUCUGAGGGC